GGUUCGAUCAUGGCUCAGAUUGAACGCUGGCGGGAUGCUUUACACAUACAAGUCCGAACGGCAACCUGGACUUACCGGUCUGGUGGCGAGUGGCGAACGGGUGAGUAAUGUCGGAACGUGCCUAGUAGCGGGAAUAACUACGCGAAAGCGUAGCCUAAUACCACAUACGCCCUUCGGGGGAAAGCGGGGACCUUCGGGCCUCACUAUUAGAGCGGCCGAUAUCGGAUUAGCUAGUUGGUGGGGUAACGGCUCACCAAGGCGACGAUCCGUAGCUGUGGUUUGAGGACGACCAGCCACACUGGGACUGAGACACAUUGGGCUCACGGAGGCAGCAGUGAAAUUUUGGACAAUGGAAACCCUGAUCCAGCCAUCCCGCGUGUGCGAUGAAGGCCUUCGGGUUGUAAAGCACUUUUGGCGGAAAGAAACGGCACGGGAUAGCCACACAAUGCGGCUGACCAAUACCUGCAGAAUGAGCACCGGCUAACUACGUGCCAGCAGCCGCGGUAGUAAUACGUAGGGUGCAAGCGUUAAUCGGAAUUACUGGGCGUAAAGCGUGCGCAGGCAGGUUCAAAGGAAGAAAGAUGUGAAAUCCAGAGCUUAACUUUGGAACUGCAUUUUUAACUACCGAGCUAGAGAGUGUGUCAGAGGGAGGUGGAAUUCCGCGUGUAGCAGUGAAAUUCGUAGAUAUGCAGCGGAGAACUUACCCGAUGGCGAAACCAGCCUCUGGGAUAACACUGACGCUCAUGCACGAAAGCGUGGGGAGCAAACGGGAUUAGAUACCCUGGUAGUCCACGCCUAAACGAUCCAAUCGCUUCGCUGGGGCCUUCGGGCCUUGGUAGCGCAGCUAACGCGUGAAGUUGACCGCCUGAAAUACGAUAGCAAGAUUAAAACUCAAAGGGAAUUAUUGGGGACCCGCACAAGCGGUGCUGGAUGAUGUGGAUUAAUUCGAUGCAACGCGAAAAACCUUUGCUACCCUUGACGUAUCUUGAUCCCGAAGAGAUUUGGGAGUGCUCGCAAGAGAACCGGAACACAGGUGCUGCAUGGCUGUCGUCAGCUCGUGUCGUGAGAUGUUGGGUUGAGAUCCCCGCAACGAGCGCAACCCUUGUCGUGGAUUGCUACGAAAGGGCACUAAUGAGACUGCCGGUGACAAACCGCCGGAGGAAGGUGGGGAUGACGUCAGAAUCUCAUGGCCCUUAUGGGUAGGGCUUCUUUACGUCAUACAAUGGUCAGGACAGAGGGUCGCCAACCCUGUGGGGGGCCAAACCAAAACCCGAUCGUAGUCCGGAUCGCAGUCUGCAACUCGACUGCGUGAAGUCGGAAUCGCUAGUAAUCAUGAGGAUCAGCAUGUCGCGGUGAAUACGUUCAGGGUCUUGUACACCGCCCGUCACACCAUGGAGUGGGUUUUACCAGAAGUAGUUAGCCUAACCGUAAGGAGGGCGAUUACCACGGUAGGAUUCAUGACUGGGGUGAAGUCGUAACAAGGUAG
rnacentral:rRNA from 1 species